rnacentral:lncRNA from 1 species
GACACCAGCACCGAGACCUCGCCGCUCCGAGGUCUGGAGAACUGCCUGAGGGACAUCCCGGUAAAUAAACCCCGCUACCCCCACAUGCCAGCCAGCAUCGCCUUGACCAGCCCCCCGCAGAGAGACAUGGGACAGUGGAGGCCAGGGGCCGGGAACAGGAGAUCACUUGGAGAAGACGUCAGUCCAGAGAAUUCACCGCUGCGAGGCCUGGAGAACUGCCUGAAGGACAUUCCCGUGCCUAGCCGCAGUCAGUCCAAUACCCCAGUCAGCCGCUCCUCCCUGAGCAGCUCACCGGACCCACGGGGCAGACUGGAGACAGCGGGGUGGCCAGUGAACACAGAAGCAGGGGCCGUCUCGGAGGUCACGCCACCGCUGCAAGGCCUGGAGAACUGUCUGAAGGACAUACCUGUGACCAGGCCCAGGUGCUCCAAUGCAACAACUAGUUACUUCUGCACCAGCAAAGCCCCGGGAGAGGUGGAGCAGAGGAGGCCGGUGCCGAGGCCCUGGAGAGCGUGCGCGGCAGCAAGUGCGGAGAGCUCCCCCCUCUACGGACUGAUGAACUGCUUGAAGGAAAUCCCCGCCGGCCGGCCUGGCUAUGCCAGCACCCCGUCUAGCUCCUCCUCCAGCAGCAGUGCCGACGGGGAGAGGGAGCCGUGGGGCGCCGGGCCAGGGACGUG